rnacentral:rRNA from 1 species
UACGUAGGUGGCAAGCGUUGUCCGGAAUUAUUGGGCGUAAAGCGCGCGCAGGCGGUCCUUUAAGUCUGAUGUGAAAGCCCACGGCUCAACCGUGGAGGGUCAUUGGAAACUGGGGGGACUUGAGUGCAGAAGAGGAAAGCGGAAUUCCACGUGUAGCGGUGAAAUGCGUAGAGAUGUGGAGGAACACCAGUGGCGAAGGCGCUUUCUGGUCUGUAACUGACGCUGAGGCGCGAAAGCGUGGGGAGCGAACAGG